AUUGAACGCUGGCGGCAUGCCUUACACAUGCAAGUCGAACGGCAGCACGGGUGCUUGCACCUGGUGGCGAGUGGCGAACGGGUGAGUAAUACAUCGGAACAUGUCCUGUAGUGGGGGAUAGCCCGGCGAAAGCCGGAUUAAUACCGCAUACGAUCUACGGAUGAAAGCGGGGGACCUUCGGGCCUCGCGCUAUAGGGUUGGCCGAUGGCUGAUUAGCUAGUUGGUGGGGUGAAGGCCUACCAAGGCGACGAUCAGUAGCUGGUCUGAGAGGACGACCAGCCACACUGGGACUGAGACACGGCCCAGACUCCUACGGGAGGCAGCAGUGGGGAAUUUUGGACAAUGGGCGAAAGCCUGAUCCAGCAAUGCCGCGUGUGUGAAGAAGGCCUUCGGGUUGUAAAGCACUUUUGUCCGGAAAGAAAUCCUUGGCCCUAAUACGGUCGGGGGAUGACGGUACCGGAAGAAUAAGCACCGGCUAACUACGUG
rnacentral:rRNA from 1 species